rnacentral:rRNA from 1 species
UACAGGGGGUGCAAACGUUGCUCGGAAUCAUUGGGCGUAAAGCGCACGUAGGCGGUUCGUUAUGUCGGAUGUGAAAGCCCUUGGCUUAACCGAGGAAGUGCAUCCGAAACUGGCGAGCUAGAGUACUAAAGAGGAUCGCGGAAUUCCCGGUGUAGAGGUGAAAUUCGUAGAUAUCGGGAGGAACACCAGUGGCGAAGGCGGCUACCUGGAUCAAUACUGACACUGAGGCGCGAGAGCGUGGGGAGCAAACAGG